rnacentral:rRNA from 1 species
UACGUAGGGUGCAAGCGUUAAUCGGAAUUACUGGGCGUGAAGCGUGCGCAGGCGGCUUUGCAAGACAGAUGUGAAAUCCCCGGGCUCAACCUGGGAACUGCAUUUGUGACUGCAAGGCUAGAGUACGGUAGAGGGGGAUGGAAUUCCGCGUGUAGCAGUGAAAUGCGUAGAUAUGCGGAGGAACACCGAUGGCGAAGGCAAUCCCCUGGACCUGUACUGACGCUCAUGCACGAAAGCGUGGGGAGCAAACAGG